UGAGGAAUUUUGCGCAAUGGGAGCAAUCCUGACGCAGCAACGCCGCGUGGGUGAUGAAGGCCUUCGGGUCGUAAAGCCCUGUCAGGUGGGAAGAAUGUCCCGGGACUGAACAGGUUCCGGGAGUGACGGUACACCAGAGGAAGCACCGGCUAACUCCGUGCCAGCAGCCGCGGUAAUACGGAGGGUGCCAGCGUUAUUCGGAAUUACUGGGCGUAAAGCGCGUGUAGGCGGUCCUGCAAGUCUGAUGUGAAAGCCCCGGGCUUAACCCGGGAAGUGCAUUGGAAACUGUGGGACUUGAGUACUGGAGAGGAUGGGGGAAUUCCCGGUGUAGAGGUGAAAUUCGUAGAGAUCGGGAGGAAUAUCAGUGGCGAAGGCGCCCAUCUGGACGGUAACUGACGCUGAGACGCGAAAGCGUGGGGAGCAAACA
rnacentral:rRNA from 1 species